rnacentral:rRNA from 1 species
ACGGCUCAGUAACACGUGGAUAACCUGCCCUAAGGUGGAGGAUAACCCCGGGAAACUGGGGAUAAUACUCCAUAGGUUAAAGGUACUGGAAUGUUCUUUAACCGAAAGUUCCGGCGCCUUAGGAUGGAUCUGCGGCCGAUUAGGUUGUUGUUGGGGUAGUGGCCCAACAAGCCUGUGAUCGGUACGGGUUGUGGGAGCAAGAGCCCGGAGAUGGAUUCUGAGACAUGAAUCCAGGCCCUACGGGGCGCAGCAGGCGCGAAAACUUUACAAUGCGAGCAAUCGUGAUAAGGAAACCCUGAGUGCCUGUCAAUGCAGGCUGUUCUGGUGUCUAACACACACCAGGAGAAAGGGCGGGGCAAGACCGGUGCCAGCCGCCGCGGUAAUACCGGCUGCUCGAGUGAUAGCCGCUUUUACUGGGCUUAAAGCGUUCGUAGCUUGGUCGUUAACUCUCUGGGGAAAUCUUUUGGCUUAACCAAAAGGCGUCUCAGGGAAAGUGGCGAUCUUGGAACCGGGAGAGGUAAGACGUACUUCGGGGGUAGGAGUGAAAUCUUGUAAUCCCCGAGGGACGACCGAUGGCGAAGGCAUCUUACCAGAACGGCUUCGACAGUGAGGGACGAAAGCUGGGGGAGCAAACCGGAUUAGAUACCCGGGUAGUCCCAGCCGUAAACGAUGUGCGUUAGGUGUGUCAGCGACCACGAGUCGCUGAGGUGCCGAAGGGAAACCGUGAAACGCACCGCCUGGGAAGUACGGUCGCAAGGCUGAACUUAAAGGAAUUGGGCGGGGGGAGCAC